UACAGUGUUCCUGCCCUCACGGGUAGAAGCCCCCACCCUUGUAUAUUCUAUCUUGUGGCUUUGGCAGGCCGCCUUGGGGCACCGGCUCGCGCCGGCUCGUGCCUGCCAGAGGACCCCAAAUUCUAAAUGUUAGUGUCGUCUGAGUAUUAUAUAAUAGUUAAAACUUUCAACAACGGAUCUCUUGGUUCUGGCAUCGAUGAAGAACGCAGCGAAAUGCGAUAAGUAAUGUGAAUUGCAGAAUUCAGUGAAUCAUCGAAUCUUUGAACGCACAUUGCGCCCCUUGGUAUUCCGAGGGGCAUGCCUGUUCGAGCGUCAUUUAAACCAAUCUAGCUUGCUAGGUCUUGGGCUUUCGCCUCUGGGCGGGCCUCAAAAUCAGUGGCGGUGCUGCCGGGCUUUAAGCGUAGUAAUCUUUCUCGCUAUAGGGUCCUGGUAGAGGCUUGCCAACAACUAUAAAUCUUUCAAAGGUUGA
rnacentral:rRNA from 1 species